UGUAGAGCAGUUUGCCAUGCUUAACACGUGAGUCAAGAUUUUGUAGAAGAUUCUGUCAAAGAAUCAACAACAUAAAGAAAUAUACCUCUCGGUUUGGAUAUCUCUCAACAAAACCUUCUACUGCUUCUCAGCCAGCCAUGCUGUUUGCUUCCUGCUCAGGACUUGUGAUUUUGUUGAUAAUCAGAAGGACCAAUGGAGACUCGGUGACCCAGACAGAAGGUCCAGUUACCCUCCCUGAGAGAGCAGCUCUGACAUUAAACUGCACUUAUCAGACCAGCUAUUCAGCUUUUAUAUUCUGGUAUGUGCAGUAUCCAAACAAAGAGCCUGAGUUCCUCCUGAAAAGUUCAGAAAACCAGGAGACGAACAGCAGAGGUUUUCAGGCCAGUCAUGUCAAGAGUGACAGUUCCUUCCAUCUGGAGAAACCCUCGGUACAGCUGUCGGACUCUGCCGUGUACUACUGCGUUCUGAGAGACACAGUGGGAGGGACUGCAGCGACAGCCCAGCACAAACCCCGGGGGCCGCAGGAUCCAGCAUGGCUCAGAAGGUAACUCAAGCUCAGACUGAAAUUUCUGUGGUGGAGAAGGAGGAUGUGACCUUGGACUGUGUGUAUGAAACCCGUGAGACUACUUAUUACUUAUUCUGGUACAAGCAACCACCAAGUGGAGAAU